ACCGCUGGUUCAGAGAAAAGCUCACAUCACUGCAUUCAGCUCUGCUGCUGCCAUGGGGCCAAGCGACCUGUCCUCUCCAGGCUCACUUCCUCGUCAGUAGAAUGAGGUUCACAGCACCCCACCCAGGAUCAUGCUCUGAGGACUCAGUGUGAAGAUAACUAAGCAUCUGAUGUGACCUAUGACAAGUGCUCAAUGUGCAAUAAAAAUAUUUGCUGAGCCUUCUCCUAGAGAAAAUAAUGUUUUGCUCCCAUCUGGAACUGCCAAAAGGCCGGAAGUUAGCUAUGGAAAUAGCGAUACACCUGUUAUUGUGUGUGUCCUGCAGCACUGCAGAGGCUGCGGUUUUCAUGGAGCUGAGAAAGACAGCUUUAGGGAAACUGUAAGUGCUGAGCCCCAGGAGCAGUUGGUCAGGAGUCACCAGUGUCCAGGAGUUAGGACCUGAUGGAUGUCUUUGUGAUCAAGCUGCCAUCCCUAUGUCACCUCAGUCCCAGCAAAUUCACUUGCUCAUCUUGUCUACAGAGAAGCUCAACCAAUGGCUUUAAACAUGAGAGGCUUCUGUUCCAAUGGAUGGUCCAAUCUUCAGCCAAAGCAUCAUCAAGUGUGGGGGCUGGAUUGAAAUUUUUGAAGUCUUUUAAGCCCUGUGGACCAGAAACAUUAGAACCCGAGGCGAUUAUCACUCCUUCAUCCCAGACCCACUGAAGCAGAGUCUGCAUUUAACAAGAUCCCAAGACCAUGUGUAUGCUUUUAAGACUGAGAAGCACUGAUACUAGUGGAGAGUCCCACAUUUUAAUGGGCGUCAUUAAAGUAGCAAAACCUACUGCUUCCUGGACUACUUCCUAUAGGUCCUGAAUGGCAAAAAGCCCAGAAGAUUCCCAUGGGAGAAGUAUCUCUGAAGCAUAACCUGUACUUUGUAAUCAGCCGGACCCUGAAUCCCAGCUUGGCUCAGUUUGGUGGCAGCUGGGUCUCUUCAGAAGUCCGAACUCUUUUGGAAAGUGUCAGAAACCUAGUUCGAACUGGUUCAAGUUAAAAGAUUUCUCGGAAACCAUUGUUGGAAAAGGACCUACCAUGACUUGUAGAAGGUGGAAUUCACUUUGAG